UACGGAGGGUGCAAGCGUUAUCCGGAUUUAUUGGGUUUAAAGGGUGCGUAGGCGGGAUAGUAAGUCAGUGGUGAAAGCCCUCAGCUCAACUGUGGAAUUGCCAUUGAUACUGCUGUUCUUGAAUAUAGUUGAAGUGAACGGAAUGUAACGUGUAGCGGUGAAAUGCAUAGAUAUGUUACAGAACACCAAUUGCGAAGGCAGUUCACUAAGCUAUUAUUGACGCUCAGGCACGAAAGCGUGGGGAGCAAACAGG
rnacentral:rRNA from 1 species